AUUGCUUGAUAACUCAUAGAUUCAGCACUAGUUAUUUUCUUCAUCAUUUCUUCCUCUGAACUAUCAUGAUCUUGAUCUCAUUGUCAUGUCCAGGUCAUGAUGAGCAUCUGAUCGUCUUCAGAGACACAAAGAUCUCAGUGUUGAGCUGUUCAUCUGCAGUAUGUCAGAGAAGAGAGGAAAGAUGAGUCUCUCACAGAAACAGAGUGUAAGAUCAGACUCACAUGUGUCUGUGAAGAGUGACCGGUCAAAACAUGGUGACAUGCCGAAAUUCAGUGAGAAAAAAACAUCCAUCAAAAGGUAUUUAUUAUCUUUGACAUUAUAAUGUAGUGUUGGCUUAUUUCUCCACUAAGAUGCUUGUGAUAGAAAUGAAUGAAAUAAAACAAUAAAUCACUGAUUUCCUCUUUAUUGAACUCAGUCUGGAGCUUGUUUCCAGUAACACAAUCACACAAGCAGCCACAAGGAGGUAUAAAUUAACUGUAGAAAAUCCUGCUGUGAUCUGAUUGGCUGACUGAGUCUUGAUAAAGAUCACCUGUUGGUCCUUACUAAUUAUGUUUCAGUGUCCUCUUGUUUGAACCAAAAGGCUGUCGUUUAGACAUGACUUGUGUGGAAUUGUUGCGUUGUUGACCAUGUAAGUUUCCUUUUGAUUGUUUGUUUAGUUUAAAGGAUCAUGUGUUUGAUAUUGAAUUCUAGUUAUGUUUAGCAGUUCUUUGAUGUUAUACUCAUUUGAUUGCUACAGCUGAUUUCAGAUGUAUGAUUUAAAAUUCCAAUUGUGUUUGUAUUCAUUAAUGGUCUUGCUUAGGGGUUUUUUAGAAACCAGCAAUUACCAUCACUGCCAUCUGAAAAAUGUCUACUUCUGCAUGUCACCAAAAUAAACUGGGAAGUACUUGAUGACUGAAUGAGUUUUAAUGGACCCACCAUUCCAGCAGUAACAGCCAAAUCAGCCUAGUGCAUUUUCUCCCAGCUUCCUGUGUACAACAUCAGCUACACACACCUAAAUACACUGUAAAUAAAGUACAAUAAACUAGGGGUGUAAGAAAAUAUCGAUACAUGUGAGUAUCGCAAAGUUUUGUUUGGCGAUUUAUGGUAUCGAUUCUCAAAAAACGGGAUAUCAAAUAUAAAAAAAAAAAAAAAAAAAAAAAAAAAAAUCAUACAAGAUUAAUGCCAGUUGUUUCGUUUUGAGUUUACAUCCUGACCACUAGAUGGCAGUCUUCAUCUCUGAAUGACAGUGAGAGUAACAUGAAAUACAAGUAGUGAUGGGAAGUUCGGUUCUUUCUGACGGUUUGAUUGAAAAAAAAAAACGGUUCACCGGUUCUUUUACGCUCGACGUAAUGACGUCAAGUCUAUCAAACAUUCAAAUAUAUAAAGUCAGUAAUCAUAACUUUAGUCAGUUAAAAACCUCAUAAUCAUGAAAAGUUUACAAUUAAGUUUUGCAACAACGCACCCAAAUACAGUAACAGCAAUAAUGUGCAUAUGAGGAUUUAAGUCUUGAAGAUAUAAAGUAAAUUAGGUGUCAUCAGCGGAGAAACCAUGAUCCACUUACUAUACAUAAUCCAUUGCGAUUUAUUUGUUAUUAAAUAAACUUACGUUUUGCCAGAUUGCCCUUCAUUCAAGCCUUCGGUUUACGCGCUCCCAACAUUAGCACCGAAUCAGUUGAGAAUCAAUCACCAAAAGAACCAGCUCUGUUCACACGCGCUGUGUGUCAGUCUGCUUCAUGCUGAAUCACGCAUGCGCAGUAUCAUCAGCUCCUCAGUUCUCAAAUCGGACGCGUCCGACAGAAACGGUUCUCGGUUCAGUGUACUGGUGAUCCGAAAACCGAUGCAACCGGUUCUUGACUCGUGAACGAGAACCGCUCUAACCGGCACGCUGCAGUUCAGUUUCAUCAGCUGCUUUACUCGUGUGUUCAUGUUCUAUUUAUAUAUACAUAUAUACACAUAUAUAUAUAUAUAUAUAUAUAUAUAUAUAUAUAUAUAUAUAUAUAUAUAUAUAAGGAAAUAUACAGAAGUUGAAUAAACUUAUCAAACACUAAAUUAAAAAUAGAUGAAUCCUUGAAGCUACAAAAGUUUUUGAUUUCUUCUCUUUUUUUAGUUUUUUGAUUAACAGACAUCACAGCAUCUGGGUUAUUAGGUUAUUUGGCUGCUAUUACUUUAAGAGCAUAUAUAUGGUAUCUAUUAUUUUGAAUUUUUAUGUACUUAGGGUUAUGUAUUUGUAUCUCUCUGUGCUUUAAAUGCCCCUCGUUUAUUUGAGUAAAGUGUUCAACGUGC
rnacentral:lncRNA from 1 species